AAGGCCCUUCCGCGGCUCCUGCCGCAGCAGUGCGCCACGACCGCUGCGCCGCAGACCCCGGGGGCAGCGCUGUGCUUGUUUGUGCUGACAGCAUCCGGCUGGGCCUGGGCGCACCGCACGAAGAGCCCAACCCGAGCAGGGCUGGGCUCGUUCCCCCUGAGGUCAUCCCUUCCCAAACGUGUUCUGUACGAUCUCGUUCCCACCGUCUCCACCAUAUUUAGUAAAUCACCCUAUGGGGGCAUAGUAACGGCGUAACUGCAUCAGGAAGUUGCCCAAAAUAGGGUUCCUCCCGGCUUCCGCUGCACUGAUCGUUACUGAUGUCACAGCAAGAUGACCAUGGAGCGUUCACUUCUCUGAUGUGGUAGGACGGUUGCUGGCAAAACAGCUCUCAGCUUGUUUGACAAUCGUUUAAAGUCUUAAGAGCUCCAGCCAAGGAAGCUUGGAGGGAAUAUAGAGCGUGACAGGCGUUCAGAAGUUGCUGUGCACUUUGUGCCUACACAAGCACCCGCUUUACAGUGUUCAGAUCCUGGUUUAUAACGAAUGGUCUGGCUGGUCUGACAGAGCAACGUUGGCCAUGACAGUAACUAAUCUUUCUGUCAACAGAUGCAGAGGCCCACUGGAGAGCAUACUUGUGAUUACAGUAAAUUAUAUGUAUCAAGAAGAAAAGGGGACCAAACCUGAGUCCCUCCAGGAGUUUGGGCAGGUAAUGUUAUCCUUUCUUAUUUCACCUCUCAGAAGGGAAGGGAAUCUAGCUCUGCACCUGGAAAAAAAUAAAAGUAUAUGAAGAGUCUGUUCAGAUUCACUGUUUAAUUUUCACAUACAGAACUCACAAGGUAAUACUGAAGUGAGACUUGUUUCCUUCACCAGGGCAAGCUGCGUUCUCACAUCCUUCUGCUACGAAAACCUACCAGCUUCCCAUAUUGCUGUGCUUAAGAAAGCACCUGCUGGUUUUUAUAAUCAGUCACUAAUGAGACUGGGCUCCCCACAGCUCUUCCUAUGGCUGAAAGUUCCAGGUUUGUUGUUGUUUUUAACCAUUCUGCCGUUUGAUACAUAACGUAGUGGUUGGCCUCUUCAGCGUAUUAACAAUUUGGCUGCUUAUGUCUGCUUUACUGUGGCUUGUCCACUAAACUGGGGACAUUUUUUUCAUGUACGCAAAGCUAAAGCUAUUUAGUGACAUCUUGUCAUUGCAGCUUUAGUGCAUGAGAUAAACUCUGAGGCCCAAGGCUGAGUAGUGAAGGAAACUGAAGUUUUCUAGGAAAGAAAGAAGGAUAAUGAGAUUGUCAC
rnacentral:lncRNA from 1 species